rnacentral:rRNA from 1 species
CCUACGGGUGGCAGCAGUGGGGAAUAUUGGACAAUGGGGGGGACCCUGAUCCAGCGACGCCGCGUGAGUGAUGAAGUAUCUCGGUAUGUAAAGCUCUAUCAGCCGGGAAGAAAAUGACGGUACCUGACUAGGAAGCCCCGGCUAACUACGUGCCAGCAGCCGCGGUAAUACGUAGGGGGCAAGCGUUAUCCGGAUUUACUGGGGGUAAAGGGAGCGUAGACGGGGCAGCAAGUCUGAUGUGAAAGGUCGGGGGCCAACCCCGGGACUGCAGUGGAAACUGUUGAUCUGGAGUACAGGAGAGGUAAGCGGAAUUCGUGGUGUAGCGGUGAAAUGCGUAGAUAUUAGGAAGAACACCAGUGGCGAAGGCGGCUUACUGG